rnacentral:misc_RNA from 1 species
AACGCACCUUGCACUCCUUGGUAUUCCGAGGAGUAUGCCUGUUUGAGUGUCAUGAAAUUCUCAACUGCCUUUUUAGCAUUUAUGUUAAGGGUGAAGUUGGAGUUGGAGGAUAAUUGCUGGCGCACAACUUAGGUUGUUUGUUAGCUCCUCCUAAAUGGAUGAGCUUUUCUGAUAGAUUAUGGCUCAGUAACACUAAUGUGAUAAUUAUCUACAUUAAAUGUGAAAGCUAUGAGUAGAGUAACUUCAAUUGUGGAGAAGCUCCUAUAGAAAAGGGUAUGUCUUGGGGAUAAAUAAACCCUUGACUUGAAAUAUAAUGACAAAUCUGACCUCAAAUCAGGUAGGACUACCCGCUGAACUUAA